rnacentral:rRNA from 1 species
CGGACGGGUGAGUAACACGUGGAUAACCUACCUAUAAGACUGGGAUAACUUCGGGAAACUGGAGCUAAUACCGGAUAAUAUAUUGAACCGCAUGGUUCAAUAGUGAAAGACGGUUUUGCUGUCACUUAUAGAUGGAUCCGCGCCGCAUUAGCUAGUUGGUAAGGUAACGGCUUACCAAGGCGACGAUGCGUAGCCGACCUGAGAGGGUGAUCGGCCACACUGGAACUGAGACACGGUCCAG